AUAAAACUCGGGAGCAGCAGAGCUGACAGCGUUGAAGAGGGAUGCCGGCCGACAGCAGGAGCCGCCGAGGGAAGAUAGUUGGAGGUGCUAAUAGACGGCGCAGCUGAAAGCUACACGCAACGAAGCUCGAGACAAAGGAGCUGAUAAAUGAUCCGGGAAGGCUGUCAAGGCACAACGAGGAGCAUCUGGAGAAGAUCCGCUUCUGGCCCCUCUGACGGCCUGACUUCCCGCCCGCCCUCCGAUGUGAGAUCAGUCACCCCUGAUUCCUUCGGCCCUCUAAACCCAGACUGCACCCUCCUCUAGCGCAAAGACCCCGGCUCCAGCAUCCCACCCUGGCGGAUUCUCUUCAUCUCAACCACCCUCAGAUCACAGAUGAUCCGGAUCCAGUAAGAGACAUAACUCAAACCUCAUCAACUGUCCUGUC